UUAGGCUGGAAUCCCCCACUAAAUGUUCACAUUCCAGACCAUUGUCACCUCAAGCUGGACCUCCCACAAAACCUGUCCAUGUGUAAUAAAUAGCAAGACGUUGCACAUUUGAUUUUUUUCAGCAUUUUCAUAUAGGACAACACAUUUCUUUGGUGACAAUGGAGACUGCUGCGUUCUACAUGGCACGGACUGUCGACAGACCAAAACGUCUUGUAUCCAAAACAGCGCAGCCCUUGCAACACGCUGCCAAAAAAACGGGGGUCUGCUAAGCCAGCUAGCACGCCUGCAAAAUCCAAAGUGCGCCUUGUAAGGAAGAAAUCGGCUGUGACAGUGGCAACAGCCGGCGGCAGAACAGGCUGCUCUGGACUUUACAAGGAAGAGAUUAGGAUUAUGAAAAAGCAACUAAAUGACAUGGACAAUCGCUUGAAGACAGUGUCAAGAGAAUUGGAGGUGGAGAAGCAGUUUAGAAAGGCUGUGGAGGAACAUCUUAACAAGGCAGUGGAGGACCGUGCAAAGGCAGAGGAACGCUUCAAGAAGGUGGAGGAACUUCUG